rnacentral:rRNA from 1 species
AACGAACGCUGGCGGCAUGCCUAACACAUGCAAGUCGAACGAGACCUUCGGGUCUAGUGGCGCACGGGUGCGUAACGCGUGGGAACCUGCCCUUAGGUUCGGAAUAACUCCCCGAAAGGGGUGCUAAUACCGGAAAAUGUCUUCGGACCAAAGAUUUAUCGCCUUUGGAUGGGCCCGCGUUGGAUUAGCUAGUUGGUAGGGUAAAAGCCUACCAAGGCGACGAUCCAUAGCUGGUCUGAGAGGAUGAUCAGCCACACUGGGACUGAGACACGGCCCAGACUCCUACGGGAGGCAGCAGUGGGGAAUAUUGGACAAUGGGCUGAAGCCUGAUCCAGCAAUGCCGCGUGAGUGAUGAAGGCCUUAGGGUUGUAAAGCUCUUUUACCCGGGAUGAUAAUGACAGUACCGGGAGAAUAAGCUCCGGCUAACUCCGUG